rnacentral:misc_RNA from 1 species
GAUGAAGAACGCAGCGAAAUGCGAUAAGUAAUGUGAAUUGCAGAAUUCAGUGAAUCAUCGAAUCUUUGAACGCACAUCGCGCCCGCCAGUAUUCUGGCGGGCAUGCCUGUUCGAGCGUCAUUACAACCCUCAGGCCCCCGGGCCUGGCGUUGGGGAUCGGCGGAGCCCCCCGUGGGCACACGCCGUCCCCCAAAUGCAGUGGCGGUCCCGCCGCAGCUUCCAUCGCGUAGUAGCUAACACCUCGCGACUGGAGAGCGGCGCGGCCACGCCGUAAAACACCCAACUCUUCUGAAGUUGACCUCGAAUCAGGUAGGAAUACCCGCUGAACUUAAGCAUAUCAAUAAGCGGAGGA